CUCAACACUAUUCUCCGUGGAAAAUAAAAGAAACCAAAGCAAGAGAGAGAGAAAAAGUGGGAGCUAGAUCAUGCCUUUUUCAAAGAGACUGCAUGUCUGAGGCACUAGACCCUGGAGCUGAAGCUAACUGCCUUCAAUUGCUGGCUUCUGGGCCCACUUGACUCCAGCCUGUGACCAUGAAACUUCACUCGACCAGACCAAGCUUCAGUGCACUCUGCAUGUUUGACAGAAGAUGGCUCUAUGGAGAAUUUCAAAGGCCAUCAGAAAACGCUGCUGAUCUUCCCCUGCUCACCCACUGCUUCCUGCCACGCUGGCCCUCAAAGGAAGAUCUGGGUGGAUAUUUCAGUUGUGCAAGCAUGUUGUGUCUGCCCUGCCAUAGAU